GGCCGGUUAGCUCAACUGGUUAGAGCAUGGUGCUGGUAACACCAAGGUUGCGGGUUUGAUCCACGUUCGGUCC
rnacentral:tRNA from 1 species